GACGUAGGGUGCGAGCGUUGUCCGGAUUUAUUGGGCGUAAAGAGCUCGUAGGCGGCUCGUCGCGUCGACCGUGAAAACCCGCGGCUUAACUGCGGGCUUGCGGUUGAUACGGGCGGGCUAGAGUUCGGUAGGGGAGACUGGAAUUCCUGGUGUAGCGGUGAAAUGCGUAGAUAUCGGGAGGAACACCGGUGGCGAAGGCGGCUUUCUGGACAGAUACCGACGCUGAGGCACGAAAGCUAGGGGAGCAAACAGG
rnacentral:rRNA from 1 species